GACGAACGCUGGCGGCGUGCCUAAUACAUGCAAGUAGAACGCUGAAGGAGGAGCUUGCUCUUCUGGAUGAGUUGCGAACGGGUGAGUAACGCGUAGGUAACCUGCCUGGUAGCGGGGGAUAACUAUUGGAAACGAUAGCUAAUACCGCAUAAGAGUAGAUGUUGCAUGACAUUUGCUUAAAAGGUGCAAUUGCAUCACUACCAGAUGGACCUGCGUUGUAUUAGCUAGUUGGUGGGGUAACGGCUCACCAAGGCGACGAUACAUAGCCGACCUGAGAGGGUGAUCGGCCACACUGGGACUGAGACACGGCCCAGACUCCUACGGGAGGCAGCAGUAGGGAAUCUUCGGCAAUGGACGGAAGUCUGACCGAGCAGCGCCGCGUGAGUGAAGAAGGUUUUCGGAUCGUAAAGCUCUGUUGUAAGAGAAGAACGAGUGUGAGAGUGGAAAGUUCACACUGUGACGGUAUCUUACCAGAAAGGGACGGCUAACUACGUG
rnacentral:rRNA from 1 species